rnacentral:rRNA from 1 species
GACGUAGGCAGCGAGCGUUGUUCGGAAUUACUGGGCGUAAAGAGUGUGUAGGCGGUGCUCUAAGUCUGGUGUGAAAUCUCCCGGCUCAACUGGGAGGGUGCGCUAGAAACUGGAGUGCUCGAGGAUGGGAGAGGUAAGCGGAAUUCCUGGUGUAGCGGUGAAAUGCGUAGAUAUCAGGAGGAACACCUGUGGUGUAGACAGCUUACUGGACCGCAACUGACGCUGAGACACGAAAGCGUGGGUAGCAAACAGG